GGCCUACAAAUGUAAGAACAGGAGCCCGUGAGUACAGGAGUCCAGAGGGGCAAACACCAAUUAUUCUCUCAGGUGUUCGACUUACUGAGCCAGACCAGAAAUUUCAUUUGACUCUGAAGUUUCUUCCGGCACAGUAACUAGAUCAAACCUGAACCGCUUUGAUGUCAGAGACCCAGUUAAAUGAGUGUUCACGUUCGCCUGAAAUGAGCAACAUUUGUUACCAGGCACUGACUCUGUACCAGUGAAAAUGCUUUCAUCUCAAAAAUGGGCUGACAGGACGGCUCUGGUACUCAGUAUGAAUAUUCCAGUGUCUGACUUCUGAAACUUUUGAGUAAUCAACUGAAGGCCAUGAAUGGGAUACAGACAGAAGCAAUACAAGAAAACCACUGUACUUUCAAGGGUACAAAAUGUUGGUGCUUAUUAAAAUAACCAUCUUUGUAAAUAACUGUAGUGUCUUAUUUGCUAAUUCUGAACGCAUGCUGCUUUUGACGCAACUUUUAAACGGCACACCUCUACCCAACUUCGAAAGAGUUGCCUUCCAAAGGCAUGUAUAAAUCCAUCAGCUACGCGAGAAGGAAAU